AUAUAUAUAUAUAUAACUCUACCUUUCACUGCUUCACAUAAGAUCAUUCAGAUGCAAUAAUUGUAUAUAACAUCUGCAGAUUAUGUUUUAUGUCUCCUCGGACCAGGCUUCAUUCCCCUCAAUUACAGCUUCCAUCAUCAAAAUCACCAUCCUCUCAAGCAAUUAAUUCUUUGUGAGUGGAAGGCAUUGAUGUAGAAGGAUAGUAAGUUGAAGCAUAUUGUGUGACAAAAUAUUCUGUAGAAUAGAUUCUAUUUUAUUGUUAUCUUUUCUUUCUUUAUAAAAAGGAGACCUCUUUCUGCUGUCUUUUGAAAAUCUUUCGAAUCUCUCUUUAACUCUUUCUUUAUUUUAUCUUCUACAAAAUAUAUCCCCCCAUGUGAUCAAAUUAAUUCUAAUUAAGUUUAACGUAAUCACAAACGAUUCUCAGUUACCCAUUUGGGCUAAUAAAAUCUUAUUAUAUAUAUCUUAGUUAUUUUCUAAUCAUUCCAUUUAUAUGUAUUAUUGUGUAUGGUAAAUUAUUGACUUUUAUAAUCAUUAUUUAAGUUGCAAGUUUUACAUUUUUUUAUAUUAACUAUGUAUUUGUGUGUGUAUGCAUAUAUUAUAAGUUAAAGAAAGUGAAAAACAAAAGGUAGCUUUAAUAUUAGGUGGUGUCAUCAUUUCACAAAACAAAGAAACUCAUCUGCGAGGAAAGGUUAGCAAAAUAACGAAGAAACUUUAGGCAUAGCUUAUCCAAAUAAGUAAGUAAGGCUUUCUCUGAUAUCGAUUGGAGAUAAUAGUGUCAUGAAUUAGGUUCUUUAAGUCAAUUAAUUAUAAUAUAUUAGAAUUAACAAUUGAUCUACAAAAUGUGACAUUAAUUUAACCAUCGAUAAUGGAAACACAGGUUUUCAGCUUCUAACGAAUUGUUUUGUUGAUUGAUGCAAUGGAAAAAGGAAGAAAAUGAACGUGUGGUUCUGAGAAGCCCUUUUUGCACAGUUCUAUCUCCAUUUUCUUGCCUUCUUCCUUUUGUUUGGUACAUAGUCUCAACAUCCUCAAAAUUAUUGUGCUACUUCUGCUAUAUAGUACACUAUCGAAACCAGAAUAAAGGGAGUGAUGUUUAUUAAGACAAAGCCCCACGAUGUGUGACUCACACCCUUUCUUUUCUUUGUGUUGUCUGAAGGAUACAAUGAUGUAAAUUUGUUAUACAUGGCGAUGUUUUGUUAUGCAUGACUAAACAAGAAACAUUAAUUAUUAAAAUCGAGGUUUUUUUAUUUCACUAGUGGGAUGCAGGUGCGCAACACAGGGACAAAAGGAAAAGAACAAAAAUUUAAUAUAUAGGUGGAACAGAAAGUGAUCACUGGAAAUGUAGGUUUUAUGUGUAUUGCCUCAUAAGUUGUUGGCAGAAUCAUAUCCCAAUUUUACUUUCCCCACUUUUCUCCCACUCAGAUGAACAAACCUAUUAAUAAUCUCAGCCUAACUCUGGUAGUGCAGGAGGAUUUGGUACCAGGGUGAUUAUAACAAGGUUGCAGGUUUUUGCUGUAUUUACUUUAUUUUUUCUUCUUUUGACACUUGUAGGAGUACGGAUUAUAAAUGAUAAAAUGAGUUCUAACUCGUAGCUAACGGAUUUGAAUUAGAAUGAGUUAACAAAAAUUCACUUUUUUUAAAAGUGGAUUAAACUGAACUUGAUUCACUUAAUUCAUGUGUUAAACGGGAUGAAAGUAGGUUGACUUACUUAAUCCACUAACAUUUU